rnacentral:tRNA from 1 species
GCUUUAAAAGCUUUGGUGAAGCAUCAGUUUUGUAAAUUGAAGAAGGGUUAAACCCUUAAAGUC